AGGACGAACGCUGGCGGCGUGCUUAACACAUGCAAGUCGAGCGGUAAGGCCUUUCGGGGUACACGAGCGGCGAACGGGUGAGUAACACGUGGGUGAUCUGCCCUGCACUUCGGGAUAAGCCUGGGAAACUGGGUCUAAUACCGGAUAUGACCUCAGGUUGCAUGACUUGGGGUGGAAAGAUUUAUCGGUGCAGGAUGGGCCCGCGGCCUAUCAGCUUGUUGGUGGGGUAAUGGCCUACCAAGGCGACGACGGGUAGCCGACCUGAGAGGGUGACCGGCCACACUGGGACUGAGACACGGCCCAGACUCCUACGGGAGGCAGCAGUGGGGAAUAUUGCACAAUGGGCGAAAGCCUGAUGCAGCGACGCCGGCGUGAGGGAUGACGGCCUUCGGGUUGUUAAACCUCUUUCAGCAGGACGAAGCGCAAGUGACGGUACUGCAGAAGAAGCACCGCUAACACGUGCCAGCAGCCGC
rnacentral:rRNA from 1 species